UACGAAGGGGGCGAGCGUUGUUCGGAGUUACUGGGCGUAAAGGGCGCGUAGGCGGCGAUCCAAGUUAGGCGUGAAAGCCCCGGGCUCAACCUGGGAAUAGCGCUUAAGACUGGGUUGCUUGAGUGCGGGAGAGGUGAGUGGAAUUCCCAGUGUAGAGGUGAAAUUCGUAGAUAUUGGGAAGAACACCAGUGGCGAAGGCGGCUCACUGGCCCGCAACUGACGCUGAGGCGCGAAAGCGUGGGGAGCAAAC
rnacentral:rRNA from 1 species